AUUGAACGCUGGCGGCAUGCCUUACACAUGCAAGUCGAGCGGCAGCGCGGGGGCAACCCUGGCGGCGAGCGGCGAACGGGUGAGUAAUGCAUCGGAACGUGUCCUUUUGUGGGGAUAACCAGUCGAAAGACUGGCUAAUACCGCAUGAGCUCGAGAGAGGAAAGCGAGGGGACCGCAAGGCCUUGCGCGAGAGGAGCGGCCGAUGCCCGAUUAGCUUAGNGGUGAGGUAACGGCUCACCAAGGCGACGAUCGGUAGCUGGUUUGAGAGAACGACCAGCCACACUGGGACU
rnacentral:rRNA from 1 species